rnacentral:rRNA from 1 species
AGUGAACGCUGGCGGUAGGCCUAACACAUGCAAGUCGAACGGCAGCACAGUAAGAGCUUGCUCUUACGGGUGGCGAGUGGCGGACGGGUGAGGAAUACAUCGGAAUCUACUUUUUCGUGGGGGAUAACGUAGGGAAACUUACGCUAAUACCGCAUACGACCUACGGGUGAAAGCAGGGGAUCUUCGGACCUUGCGCGAUUGAAUGAGCCGAUGUCGGAUUAGCUAGUUGGCGGGGUAAAGGCCCACCAAGGCGACGAUCCGUAGCUGGUCUGAGAGGAUGAGCAGCAACAGGGGAACGGAGACAAGGGGGGGCAACCGACGGGCAGCAGCAGUGGGGUAGGUGGGACAAGGUGCGCAAGACUGAGCGAGCAAUACCGCGUGGAGGAAGACGGCAUUCGGGUACUAAAGCUGUUGGGGGGCAAAAAAAAAGAAACAGGUGAAUACCCCGGUGUAAGCACCGGACGUAAAGAAGAAGACACGGCGCUCUUCGUC